CCUACGGGAGGCUGCAGUGAGGAAUAUUGGUCAAUGGGCGGGAGCCUGAACCAGCCAAGCCGCGUGAGGGAAGAAGGUACAGCGUAUCGUAAACCUCUUUUGUCAGGGAACAAAGGCGGGGACUAGUCCCCGGAUGAGGGUACCUGAAGAAAAAGCAUCGGCUAACUCCGUGCCAGCAGCCGCGGUAAUACGGAGGAUGCGAGCGUUAUCCGGAAUCAUUGGGCGUAAAGAGGGAGCAGGCGGCCUGGAGGGUCUAUUGUUAAAAGGCAAUGGCUUAACCAUUGUAAGGCGAAGAAACCGGCAGGCUAGAGUUCUAAAGAGGAUCGUGGAAGUCCAUGUGUAGCGGUGAAAUGCGUAGAUAUAUGGAGGAACACCAGUGGCGAAGGCGACGAUCUGGGAAGAAACAGACGCUGAGUCCCGAAAGCGUGGGGAGCAAAUAGGAUUAGAUACCCCAGUAGUC
rnacentral:rRNA from 1 species